AAAAACUGAAUCUGACAAUAAUGAACUCUUAUGUCCUUUCCUAAUUAAUUAAUUACAAACACAACAAUAGAAAAUCUAAAGCUGAAUUAGUUAAAUAAACGCAAUGAUGAUGACCUGAUACAUCAUUCUCCAUUCAAACCACAACUAUAAAAGCAAUCCUCAUCCAACAACACAGGCAUGCAAUUUAGCAGCCCAAUAAACUAAUAUAAGGAAUGUCCUUAUCGGAAACUUCAAAUGUUUGAAAAGAAAAUCAAAACAUAAACAUCACUAACCCACUGUACACAGCUUUCCACUCCCUUUCUCACAGCCAACCAUAAGCUUGGCAAAAUUUAACGUGGCCCAAAUGGCAGCAAUUAAUGUUUAUCCUCCAAAGAAGGAGAAAAACCCUCGUUUCUUGGGCUCUUCCUCCACCAUAACAGCCUUCAUAGUAUCCUGCUCAACAAGUCUCCAAGCAGCCUGCUCGAACGCCAACCCUGCCAGUGUAGGGGGCUUAUUCAACACAAGUGGGUAUCCCCUAUUGGUGCUCCUAAUCACUUCUGAAUCCUCUGGAAUCACCCCCAACAACGCCAACCCCAACAUCUCCUGCAC
rnacentral:misc_RNA from 1 species